AACGAACGCUGGCGGCAGGCUUAACACAUGCAAGUCGAGCGCCCCGCAAGGGGAGCGGCAGACGGGUGAGUAACGCGUGGGGAUCUACCCAUCUCUACGGAAUAACGCAUGGAAACGUGUGCUAAUACCGGAUACGUCCUUCGGCAGAAAGAUUUAUCGGAGAUGGAUGAGCCCGCGUUGGAUUAGCUAGUUGGUGGGGUAAAGGCCUACCAAGUCGACGAUCCAUAGCUGGUCUGAGAGGAUGAUCAGCCACACUGGGACAGAGACACGGCCCAGACUCCUACGGGAGGCAGCAGUGGGGAAUAUUGGACAAUGGGCGCAAGCCUGAUCCAGCCAUGCCGCGUGAGUGAUGAAGGCCCUAGGGUUGUAAGCUCUUUCACCGGUGAAGAUAAUGACGGUAACCGGAGAAGAAGCCCCGGCUAACUUCGUGCCAGCCGCCGCAGUAACAC
rnacentral:rRNA from 1 species